rnacentral:rRNA from 1 species
AGUGAACGCUGGCGGUAGGCCUAACACAUGCAAGUCGAACGGCAGCACAGUAAGAGCUUGCUCUUACGGGUGGCGAGUGGCGGACGGGUGAGGAAUACAUCGGAAUCUACUUUUUCGUGGGGGAUAACGUAGGGAAACUUACGCUAAUACCGCAUACGACCUACGGGUGGAAGCAGGGGAUCUUCGGACCUUGCGCGAUUGAAUGAGCCGAUGUCGGAUUAGCUAGUUGGCGGGGUAAAGGCCCACCAAGGCGACGAUCCGUAGCUGGUCUGAGAGGAUGAUCAGCCACACUGGAACUGAGACGCGGUCCAGACUCCUACGGGAGGCAGCAGUGGGGAAUAUUGGACAAUGGGCGCAAGCCUGAUCCAACCAUACCGCGUGGGUGAAGAAGGCCUUCGGGUUGUAAAGCCCUUUUGUUGGGAAAGAAAAGCAGCAGGUUAAUACCCCGCUGUUCUGACGGUACCCAAAGAAUAAGCACCGGCUAACUUCGUG